AUUUCUAUUUGCAUAGUUUAAAAAAAACAUUACACUUUCACAGUAAAAUUAAACUAUUUUUGUAAA
rnacentral:tRNA from 1 species